rnacentral:rRNA from 1 species
UAGUCCACGCCGUAAACGAUGAUUACUAGCUGUUUGUGAUAGACAAUAAGCGGCAAAGCGAAAGCAUUAAGUAAUCCACCUGGGGAGUACGUUGGCAACAAUGAAACUCAAAGGAAUUGACGGGGGCCCGCACAAGCGGAGGAACAUGUGGUUUAAUUCGAUGAUACGCGAGGAACCUUACCUGGACUUAAAUGUAGAGUGACAGCUUUAGAGAUAGAGUUUUCUUCGGACACUUUACAAGGUGCUGCAUGGUUGUCGUCAGCUCGUGCCGUGAGGUGUCGGGUUAAGUCCCAUAACGAGCGCAACCCACGUCUUUAGUUACCAGCACAUAAUGGUGGGCACUCUAGAGAGACUGCCGGUGUAAACCGCGAGGGAAGGUGUGGAUGACGUCAAAUCAGCACGGCCCUUACGUCCAGGGGCUACACACGUGUUACAAUGGUCGGUACAGAGGGGCAGCUACUAUGUGAAUAGAUGCGAAUCUACAAAAACCGGGUCU